rnacentral:rRNA from 1 species
AUUAAACGCUGGCGGCAUGCCUUACACAUGCAAGUCGAACGGCAGCACGGGGGCAACCCUGGUGGCGAGUGGCGGACGGGUGAGUAAUACAUCGGAACGUGCCCUGGAGUGGGGGAUAACGCAGCGAAAGCUACGCUAAUACCGCAUAUUCUGUGAGCAGGAAAGCAGGGGAUCGCAAGACCUUGCGCUUUGGGAGCGGCCGAUGUCGGAUUAGCUAGUUGGUGGGGUAAAGGCCUACCAAGGCGACGAUCCGUAGCGGGUCUGAGAGGAUGAUCCGCCACACUGGGACUGAG